AUCUCUGUAGCGCAAUGGAUAGCGCUUUGGGCUUCUGAUACAAAGGUCGUGGGUUCAAAUCCUACCUGGGAUG